rnacentral:rRNA from 1 species
GAAACAGGUUAAUAUUCCUGUACUGAUCAUAAUUGCGAUGGGGGGACGGAGAAAGCUAGGCCAGCACACUGUUGGAUGUGUGUUUAAGCGCGUAGGUUGGGGACUUAGGCAAAUCCGGGUUCCUAAGACUGAAACGUGAUGACGAGUUUCUACGGAAACGAAGUGGUUGAUGCUCUGCUUCCAGGAAAAGCCUCUAAGCUUCAGAUUAUGACAACCGUACCCCAAACCGACACAGGUGGGUAGGAAGAGAAUUCCAAGGUGCUUGAGAGAACUCGGGUAAAGGAACUCGGCAAAAUGAUACCGUAACUUCGGGAUAAGGUAUGCCUCUGAUGGUGAAUAGCUGUUGGAGGCCGCAGAGAAUAGGCCGCUGCGACUGUUUAUCAAAAACACAGCACUCUGCAAACACGCAAGUGGACGUAUAGGGUGUGACGCCUGCCCGGUGCCGGAAGGUUAAUUGAUGGGGUGCAAGCUCUUGAUCGAAGCCCCGGUAAACGGCGGCCGUAACAAUAACGGUCCUAAGGUAGCGAAAUUCCUUGUCGGGUAAGUUCCGACCUGCACGAAUGGCGUAACGAUGGCGGCGCUGUCUCUACCCGAGACUCAGUGAAGUUGAAAUCGCUGUGAAGAUGCAGUGUACCCGCGGCAAGACGGAAAGACCCCGUGAACCUUCACUACAGCUUGACACUGAACAUUGAAAUAAGUUGCAUAGGAUAGGUGGGAGGCUUUGAAGCAGAGACUCUGGUUUCUGUGGAGCCGACCUUGAAAUACCACCCUGCUUAUUUUGAUGUUCUAACGUAGACCCGUAAUCCGGGUUGCAGACAGUGUCUGGUGGGUAGUUUGACUGGGGCGGUCUCCUCCCAAAGAGUAACGGAGGAGUGCGAAGGUGGGCUCGGUGCGGUCGGAAAUCGCACCAAGAGUGCAAAGGCAGAAGCCCGCUUAACUGCGAGACAGACAAGUCGAGCAGAUACGAAAGUAGGUCUUAGUGAUCCGGUGGUUCUGAAUGGAAGGGCCAUCGCUCAACGGAUAAAAGGUACUCCGGGGAUAACAGGCUGAUUCCUCCCAAGAGUCCAUAUCGACGGAGGAGUUUGGCACCUCGAUGUCGGCUCAUCACAUCCUGGGGCUGUAGCAGGUCCCAAGGGUAUGGCUGUUCGCCAUUUAAAGUGGUACGCGAGCUGGGUUCAGAACGUCGUGAGACAGUUCGGUCCCUAUCUGCCGUGGGCGUUGGAGAUUUGAGGGAAGCUGUUCUUAGUACGAGAGGACCGGAAUGGACGAACCUCUGGUGUACCGGUUGUCACGCCAGUGGCACAGCCGGGUAGCUAUGUUCGGAAGGGAUAACCGCUGAAAGCAUCUAAGCGGGAAACU